rnacentral:rRNA from 1 species
UCCGGUUGAUCCUGCCAGAGGCUACUGCCAUCAGAGUUCGAUUAAGCCAUGUUAGUCGAGGGUGCUUCUUCUUCGGAAGAGGUAACCGGCAGACGGCUCAGUAACACGUGGACAACUUACCCUUGGGACCGGGAUAACCCCUGGGAAACUGGGGCUAAUACCGGAUAGAGCAUCGGUUGCUGGAAUGCACGAUGGUCUAAAGCUGAGGCGCCCAAGGAUAGGUCUGCGGCCGAUUAGGUUGUUGUUGAUGUGACGGAUCAACAAGCCUACGAUCGGUACGGGUUGUGAGAGCAAUAGCCCGGAGAUGGGUUCUGAGAGAAGAACCCAGGUCCUACGGGACGCAUCAGGCGCGAAAACUUUACAAUGUGCGAAAGCACGAUAAGGGAACUCUGAGUGCCUCCUAAGGAGGCUGUUCGGGUGUCUAAAAAGCAUCCGAAGGAAGGGCUGGGUAAGACCGGUGCCAGCCGCCGCGGUAACACCGGCAGCCCAAGUGGUAGCCACGCUUAUUGGGUCUAAAGCGUCCGUAGCCGGCCAAGUAAGUUCUUUGGGAAAUUUGACCGCUUAACGGUCAAGCUAUCAGGGAAUACUGCUUGGCUUGGGACCGGGAGAGGUCAGAGGUACUCCAAGGGUAGGGGUGAAAUCCGUUAAUCCUUGGGGGACCACCGGUAGCGAAGGCGUCUGACCAGACCGGGUCCGACGGUGAGGGACGAAGGCUAGGGUCGCGAACCGGAUUAGAUACCCGGGUAGUCCUAGCUGUAAACGAUGCGGGCCAGGUGUUGGCAUUACUGCGAGUGAUGCCAGUGCCGAAGGGAAGCCGUUAAGCCCGCCAUCUGGGGAGUACGGUCGCAAGGCUGAAACUUAAAGGAAUUGGCGGGGGAGCAC